GAUGAACGCUGACAGAAUGCUUAACACAUGCAAGUCAACUUGAACUUCGGUUUGGGUGGCGGACGGGUGAGUAACGCGUAAAGAACUUGCCUCACAGCUAGGGACAACAUUUGGAAACGAAUGCUAAUACCUGAUAUUAUGAUUAUAUGGCAUCGUAUAAUUAUGACAGCUAUAUGCGCUGUGAGAGAGCUUUGCGUCCCAUUAGCUAGUUGGAGAGGUAACAGCUCACCAAGGCGAUGAUGGGUAGCCGGCCUGAGAGGGUGAUCGGCCACAAGGGGACUGAGACACGGCCCUUACUCCUACGGGAGGCAGCAGUGGGGAAUAUUGGACAAUGGACCGAGGGUCUGAUCCAGCAAUUCUGUGUGCACGAUGAAGUUUUUCGGAAUGUAAAGUGCUUUCAGUUGGGAAGAAAAAAAUGACGGUACCAACAGAAGAAGUGACGGCUAAAUACGUG
rnacentral:rRNA from 1 species